UGGAAAGCCAAAGGGGACCCCCGCUAAAAUACAUAUACUUAUAUAGUAAAUAUCGGGAUUGUCAUUUUUCGCGGAACUUUCACUUUCCGCGAAAAACCAAUGCCAGCAUGGCCAUAAAACACUACAUACAAAUCGAAAUCUAAAAAGCGCGGAACUUUCAUAUAUUUUCCGUCGGAGCAAUUAUUUUUCAACCCUGUAGAAAAAGCGGGCUCAAUUAAUCGCGCGGAACCUUAUUUAUCUACUCUGUACAAAUAGUAGUGUUUAAAAUCGCGCGGAGAUUGUAGAAUGCUAUUUUAAGAAGUCUAUUAAAGAGAGAAAAUCCAGUAAAUACCAGAUCCAAAAAGCGCGGAACACAAAUAUCGUCCGCGAAAAUUAAGCAUUGAAUUACUAUACAAAUCUCGGGUUGUUAGGUGUUGGAAUCCCUAGUUACCCGAAAAAUUUGAUUGGAUCCGAUACUUAGAAAUAACCAAUCAGAUACUUUGUAACAAAUGCAACACAAUCAGUGCGUUCAGUAAGUAUAACGUUUCAAGAUGGCGGAGCGAAUUGCAUGGUUAUUGUUUCUACUCGAUGGAUUCGCAGAUACUUCGGAAAUAGAUCAGAUUGGGAUCAAUAACUUUAUUGCAUACGAUCAUUUACAUGUAUUACCUGGUGUGUGUUGCCAGUAAUGGUUGAAGAUAUGCCAAACAAAUUGUGCCUUUCUAUACAGACAGAUUUCAGGUCUCAAUUUCAACUUCAAAGGUCAACAUAUCACUGAUAUCAGGAAUUCUGUGAAACUGUGGCACCAUGUAUGGUACGUGAGCGCACAAUGUCUGUUGGAAAAAGGAUAUUGGAAUAAGCAAAGGGACUCAACAUUACACAGUCAUUUCAACAUGUAGAGUCUUGUCAGCAAAGAUGGAGCAGUACAUCAGAUUUCCAGAAUCUCGUCAUGAGCUGAAGAUCAUUGCCUAUGGAUUUCAUGAAUGAUGUAAAAUGAUUUGACUGUUGAUGGAACCCACAGUGCAUGUCCUGCUUCAACAUCUGAGCAUAGGUCCUUGUUUAUCAGCAGUUUAGUUCUUCAAGCAGUCUGUGACAGUAACUUGAAAUGUUUGGACAUAUGUCCUGGAUGGCCAAGUUCUGUUCAUGAUGCCCAUUUAAAUAGAAACGGCCCGGUGGCGCAUUAAAUGGACAAUUUUUCGAAUGUUCUCGUGGAUUCAGCUUACCGCCUGACAAGAAAUCUUGCUUUUUGUUCCGUAUCGAGGCCAUGGACAUUUGUAUCAUUUGCAAAAGAUACUGCGAUAUUUGUGUCUUUGUUCAUGCUUUAUAGUUGAUUAACAUUUGGAAGCCAUAACCUGUUUAAUAGGAUGGUGUUAGUGGGACAAUGAAUUUUGUAAAGAUUUAAAGAAUGGAAAAGAUAAUUAAUAGUCAAAAGAGUUCUGCUAUUGUUAAGCAUGCUUUAUUGAUUUGUAAUGUUAUAAAGAUAGCAUUAUUAACAGAAUAAAAUGUCCAUAAUUUGAA